GCCCUAUACACAUGGAUAACAUACUGAAAAGUUUAACUAAUACAUGAUAAUAUAUAUUUACGGCAUCGUAGAUAUAUCAAAGUGUUAGCGGUAUAGGAUGGACCCGCGUCUGAUUAGCUAGUUGGUGAGAUAACUGCCCACCAAGGCGACGAUCAGUAGCCGACCUGAGAGGGUGAUCGGCCACAUUGGAACUGAGACACGGUCCAAACUCCUACGGGAGGCAGCAGCU
rnacentral:rRNA from 1 species